rfam:Picea glauca, whole genome shotgun sequence.
UUAUGUAUAUGCCUGCAACAUUAAUGCAACGGAUCCCAUCAGAACUCCAUAGUUAAGCAUGCUUGGGAUAGAGUAAUACUGGGAUGAGUGACCUCCUGGGAAGUCCUAGUGUUUUACAUGCC